AGCACUCUUCUGGAAGUAAAUUUGAUUUGCAGUCCUCCCCAAAAUGACAUUUCUACUGAAUUUUGUUUUCCUCUCGCACUGUAAAAGCACAUCCCAGAGGAAAUCAUCCAAUUAGACUAACAGCUGCAGAGAUUGGAAUAAGCCUUGCAUGUGAGAAAAUUAAAGAAAAUGCAGCUGAGUACUAUGCAAAGCAGUGAAGCUUGGUCUGGUGCUUGACCUUGUCAUAAGCACGCAAGACAAUGUUCAGAGCUGUCCAGCUGCUUGCAACACCACUAAUCUCUAUAUGAAAUGAAAAAAACAGAUUCUCCAAUCACAUCCAUGGAGCUGAAUUUAGUGAGGAGAUAUAUAAACACCAGAAUGCACUUAUCCACUACCUUGUCUUACAUGCACGGUGUACCUUGCCAAGGGAAAGUCCAAAGGAGAAGUUGUGGAACCGCGCUUUUCAUCAGCUGUCAAGACGGUUUCUUGUAUUACCUGGUAAAACUCAUUUGAUUUGACUGUAAUGUUUUUCUUGUAUGAUACCAUGUGCCAUCAUGAUACAAUGCUUUAAGGCCCAUUGAAAAUCAGCUGUAACUUUACUUUUUUUUUUUUUUUUUUUUUUUUUUUUUUCCAGAAGAGAUUAACCAAAGCUCCUCAUGUUUGGAUUUGAACAGACUAGACACAUGAAGGGUUAUCUUUUUUGUGGUCACAAACUACUGGUUUGAUCUGGAAUGAUAGUUUAUAUGCCCAGCAUAUUCUGGUGUGGUGGCUUUUUGUUGUAUACACAAUUGUAACCAGUUUCAUUGAUUGCAUCAUCUAAACCUCUGUUUUUAAAAAACUUUUCUUUUAAGUAAAGGAAGAGUAGCUGCAAUCCUCUAAUCAAAUUUCUCUGAAAACAGGAGCUAAUAUGUCCACAGAUGAGCUCCUGACUCCUGUCCAUCAUAACAUUUUAAACCAGAAUGCAUUUCAGAAGCACACCAAGUUCUUUGAAAUUGUUCACUGUAAUGAUUGUUGUGUUGCAGCAAAAACUGAAUAGCUGGCUAGUAUAAACUUUAUUAUUGAAAACAUCAAAGAUGUUGCUGUAAUGAUUAUUAAUUACCACGUAGCUUUGAGAAGUAGUUCCUGCCAAUCAACUUCACAUUAUUUUUAUGAGAAUAUGACUUUAUCUGACAGAUACACAGGUGCUAAUGCAAAUUUUGUAAUGCAUGACUUGAUGCCACACACCUUAGGAUUAUCACAUGAAAGUGAAACAAAGUUAUUGUUGUGCAUACCAAAUGGAUCAAACACUUGUAAAACAGUGGUUGGUUUUUUACUCUGUUUUUGAAAGGACUCUAAUAAGAAAUCUAAGGCAUUUAGGUGAACUUCUAUGAAGAUCCUUUCAAAGAGAAAUGAUGGAAUUUAGAACUUACACCAGCUUUUG
rnacentral:lncRNA from 7 species